AGUGAACGCUGGCGGUAGGCCUAACACAUGCAAGUCGAACGGCAGCACAGUAAGAGCUUGCUCUUACGGGUGGCGAGUGGCGGACGGGUGAGGAAUACAUCGGAAUCUACUUUUUCGUGGGGGAUAACGUAGGGAAACUUACGCUAAUACCGCAUACGACCUACGGGUGAAAGCAGGGGAUCUUCGGACCUUGCGCGAUUGAAUGAGCCGAUGUCGGAUUAGCUAGUUGGCGGGGUAAAGGCCCACCAAGGCGACGAUCCGUAGCUGGUCUGAGAGGAUGAACAACCCACAUGGAAAUGAGCGAACGCACCGACCCCCACGGGAAGCAGCAGUGGGGAAUAUUGGAACAUGGGGGGAAGCCCGAUCCGGCCAUGCCGGCUGGGGAAAGGAGGCCUUGGGGUUGUAAAAGCCCUUUGUUGGGAAAGAAAAGGAGGAAGUUAAUACACCCGUUUUAUGACAGUACCAAAAGAAUGAGCAACGGAUAACUUCGA
rnacentral:rRNA from 1 species